ACUCGUAGCUGGGAGGCGCAGUCCCCCGGGGUCCCAGGAGGCCAGCAGCUCACCGCUGCUCCCCACUGGGGAUCCAGCCUCUCUGGGUCCUGUCCAGAGCUUUCAAAUGAAGCUGGCCCCACCUCUCUACAACUGUACUUUGAGGAGUUACGACGGAAAAUUUCUGCCUCACCCAGUUUGCUUUAUCUGAGCUUUUUUUUUUUGCCCCAACAGGUUCAAGUAGUUACAUAGAGCUAUACAGCCAUUCAAACGAGGAGCUGCAUUUAACCUCAAGACAAUGGAGGAUUUCGAUUUGGACGAGCGACUGGUCACACUGGAAGCAAGGAUGGACGCAGUCCAGUCUGUCUUCAAGAAGCAGUUUAAGUCCCUCCGUGACACCACCAGUCGAGAACUCGGAGACCUAAAAAGACGGGUCGACGAUCUAGAUCAGAGUCGUCAACCUGGAACAGAGGGAUGAAGAGAGUCCUGCUGUUGCUCAGGUGAAACAAAACGUCCAGCAGCUACAAGAAGCAGUGACAUCACUGCAGAGGGGAAAGACCAAAGAUAUGAAGAGUAGAUGCGCCAGCGCACUGUAGCAGCUGGCUAAUCGACGUGUCUACGUGGCAGCCAUCUUGAAAGGGGCAAAGUUCCCAUUCAAAGCAAUGUAUGUACAUUGAAAAUAAAUCAUAAUUUGCUUAUUUCUCAA